GGUGUACUUACUUUGAGUUUUAAUAUUUUCCAAUGUUUUCAGAUCUUAUCAUCUAAACUUAUUGUUGAAGAACUUCUAUUACAUCUUACAAUAAUAUUAAUUUUUUAUAUUUACUUGUUCUUUUCCAAUUUUAUGGGACAAGAAAUUACAGAUCAUUAUAAUCUUAUAUUUAUUACUGCGUAAGAAAUAUUCUAGUUUACUAUAAUUGUUUUACAGACUUUAGUAACGAAUAUAAAAGUUAAUAUAAUACACACACAUAUAUGUGGACUGAAAAUUAUUUAUACAUAUUUUUCUCUCAAAUUACUUAAUAUUAUGUUACCGCAUGUAGGUAUGAAGUCCAAUGGUACGAAACUCCUCUAUAUAUACGAAAAUUGAUACAAUUUUUGUUAUUAAGAGGCAAUAAACCUUUUGGUUUGAAAGUUGGUAAAUUAUUCGUGGGGUCCUUACAAUGUUUUGCCACGCUAACAAAUGCGUCCUUGUCUUAUUUUAUUGCCAUGAAAUCUAUUAAAAAAUGAUGGAAGUCACGAUCGAUCAAUAUACGUUAUUAAAAUGUAGAGUAGACAAAAAAUAAUAUAUUAUAUAUUUAGUUAAAUAGAAUGUAAUAAAUAUAUAAUAAAUUUAUAAAUUAAUAUACAAAUACGUAUAACAAGAGACACAGUAUUGUCUUGCAUCAAGUGAACGCGCAGCGCGAGACCACAUUGGUAUUAUACCCUUUGCGAACAUCCGAGAUUAUGAGAUCUCAAUAACGAUUGAAUCAAUCAAUUUCUAAUUUACAAGGGAACCUCGCGAACCCGAAAAUU